AAGUCGAGGGGUAACAUGGGAAAGCUUGCUUUUCUGAUGACGACCGCCGUACGGGUGCGGAACGCGUAUGGAACCUGCCCCUGUCAGGGGAAUAGCCCAGGGAAACUUGGAUUAAUGCCCCAUGGUAUCGCGAUAUCGCAUGAUAUUGUGAUUAAAGAUUUAUCGGACAGGGAUGGCCAUGCGUACCAUUAGUUAGUUGGUGGGGUAACGGCCCACCAAGGCAGCGAUGGUUAGGGGCCCUGAGAGGGGGAUCCCCCACACUGGUACUGAGACACGGACCAGACUCCUACGGGAGGCAGCAGUGAGGAAUAUUGGACAAUGGUGGGAACACUGAUCCAGCCAUGCCGCGUGCAGGAUGACUGCCCUAUGGGUUGUAAACUGCUUUUAUACGGGAAGAAACGCACCUACGUGUAGGUGCCUGACGGUACCGUAAGAAUAAGGACCGGCUAACUCCGUGCCAGCAGCCGCGGUAAUACGGAGGGUCCGAGCGUUAUCCGGAAUCAUUGGGUUUAAAGGGUCCGUAGGCGGGCCAAUAAGUCAGAGGUGAAAGGCCACGGCUCAACCGUGGGACUGCCUUUGAUACUGUUGGUCUUGAGUUAUAGUGGGGUUGCCGGAACAUGUGGUGUAGCGGUGAAAUGCAUAGAUAUCACAUAGAACACCGAUCGCGAAGGCAGGUGGCCAACUAUAUACUGACGCUGAUGGACGAAAGCGUGGGGAGCGAACGGGAUUAGAUACCCCGGUAGUCCACGCCGUAAACGAUGGAUACUAGCUGUGGGGCAUUCGUGCUCCGUGGCCAAGCGAAAGUGAUAAG
rnacentral:rRNA from 1 species